GAAAAGAAAGGAAAAGGGUGGAAAGAAAUUGCCAUCGAGACGGUGAAUGAGUGAGUAUCAUGUGAGCUGCCUCUCUCUCUCUCUCUCUCUCUCUCUCAAAAGCAACAAGCUUGUUGAACCCAACAACCACUUUUACUUUGUUCAAGAGUAUAUUUGAGCGCUGAGAGCUUUUUUCUACUCCUUCUUCUUGGUUUCAAUGGCUUCAAGCGUCUCAAGGUUCAUCAAGUGUGUGACAGUGGGAGAUGGGGCUGUGGGGAAGACGUGCAUGCUUAUUUGCUACACAAGUAACAAAUUCCCCACUGAUUAUAUACCAACGGUGUUUGAUAACUUCAGUGCAAAUGUGGUAGUUGAAGGCACCACUGUCAACUUAGGUCUCUGGGACACGGCUGGGCAAGAGGAUUACAAUAGAUUAAGACCAUUGAGCUACAGAGGGGCAGAUGUCUUUGUAUUAGCUUUCUCAUUAGUUAGUCGUGCAAGCUACGAAAACGUACUAAAAAAGUGGAUCCCCGAACUUCAGCAUUAUGCCCCUGGAAUUCCUGUGGUGCUGGUUGGUACCAAAUUGGAUCUUCGUGAUGAUAAGCACUAUUUGGCUGAUCACCCAGGAUUGAUGCCUGUGACAACUGCACAGGGUGUGGAACUCUCUAAACAGAUUGGUGCUACAUAUUAUAUAGAAUGCAGCUCAAGAACUCAGCAGAAUGUGAAAGCAAUUUUUGAUGCUGCAAUCAAGGUGGUUAUCAAGCCACAACAGAAACAAAAAGAGAGGAAGAAAAAGCCACGUCGCGGAUGCUUAUCAAAUCUGCUUCCAGGGAGGAGUCUCAUCUGUCUCAAAUGAAACCACCUAGUCUGGAAUUUCUACCUUGGCCAUGUCACCCAGAAGCUGCAGUCUGCUGUAGGGCUCUCUAUAAAGGUCACCUGCUCUGAGACAAUUUUCUUUUUUGUCAUAAUUAUCAG